AAACUGGAGGUGGCGACCGGCGCACGGGUGAGUAACACGUAUCCAACCUGCCGAUAACUCGGGGAUAGCCUUUCGAAAGAAAGAUUAAUACCCGAUGGCAUAAUUAGACCGCAUGGUCUUAUUAUUAAAGAAUUUCGGUUAUCGAUGGGGGUGCGUUCCAUUAGGCAGUUGGUGAGGUAACGGCUCACCAAACCUUCGAUGGAUAGGGGUUCUGAGAGGAAGGUCCCCCACAUUGGAACUGAGACACGGUCCAA
rnacentral:rRNA from 1 species